rnacentral:tRNA from 1 species
GUUUCUGUGGCGCAAUCGGUUAGCGCGUUCGGCUGUUAACCAAAAGGUUGGUGGUUCAAACCCACCAAGGGACG